UCGGUUCCGGUUCACGCCGUCAACUGCCCGAACGACUCGGCAGCGGCGACCCGGGGCC
rfam:Mycobacterium hassiacum DSM 44199 mhas.contig.88, whole genome shotgun sequence.